rnacentral:rRNA from 1 species
UGCUACUGAUCUUAGCGGCGGACGGGUGAGUAAUGCUUAGGAAUCUGCCUAUUAGUGGGGGACAACAUCUCGAAAGGGAUGCUAAUACCGCAUACGUCCUACGGGAGAAAGCAGGGGAUCUUCGGACCUUGCGCUAAUAGAUGAGCCUAAGUCGGAUUAUCUAGUUGGUGGGGUAAAGGCCUACCAAGGCGACGAUCUGUAGCGGGUCUGAGAGGAUGAUCCGCCACACUGGGACUGAGACACGGCCCAGACUCCUACGGGAGGCAGCAGUGGGGAAUAUUGGACAAUGGGGGGAACCCUGAUCCAGCCAUGCCGCGUGUGUGAAGAAGGCCUUAUGGUUGUAAAGCACUUUAAGCGAGGAGGAGGCUACUUUAGAUAAUACCUAGAGAUAGUGGACGUUACUCGCAGAAUAAGCACCGGCUAACUCUGUGCCAGCAGCCGCGGUAAUACAGAGGGUGCAAGCGUUAAUCGGAUUUACUGGGCGUAAAGCGCGCGUAGGCGGCUAAUUAAGUCAAAUGUGAAAUCCCCGAGCUUAACUUGGGAAUUGCAUUCGAUACUGGUUAGCUAGAGUGUGGGAGAGGAUGGUAGAAUUCCAGGUGUAGCGGUGAAAUGCGUAGAGAUCUGGAGGAAUACCGAUGGCGAAGGCAGCCAUCUGGCCUAACACUGACGCUGAGGUGCGAAAGCAUGGGGAGCAAACAGGAUUAGAUACCCUGGUAGUCCAUGCCGUAAACGAUGUCUACUAGCCGGUUGG